AAUAUUCGUGAAGCUGAUACUGUUGGUUGGGAAGAGCAUUCGGCGGCACGUUAUGAAGCAAGAAUUGAGACAGUCACUACACGGACUGUUUGUACCGCAAGUUUACAAUGACAUCGAUCAAUGACCAAUGAGUCGUCUGUUUGCAUGAGUAGGUAAGGUCUGGGCUGGGAGAGACGAGACGACAGUCGAGCGGUACGGAGCCGCGGAGCAGAGCCAAAGCGAGCGAGUCAGUGUGGCAUGAGCCAGUGGCGAGGCAGGGUGUACUGCUCCACUCCGCUGCAUUUUGUUUGUGAACCCCGCUGGGGGAGGUCUGCCCUUUAACUUUCGGCGUCUUCAAACCUCAUGCGACCUCUUGCCGGCGUUGUUGUUAGGUGAACCACGCGGGUCACGGAGGGGAAAAUGCAUCUAUACUGUCCGAGGUGAAAAAGUUUUCGACAGAAAUAAACUUGGAAGAGUAAGAGAGCGUCUCGUAGAGGGUGUGUUGAACGUGUACCUGUGUGUUUACCCUGACCGUCCCGCCUCGGCCCUCCCGCUCACGCCUCUAGAUAUGACCAGAGUCACCCGAGGGAUUAUUAGCGUGAAGAGUGCGUGUCAGGCGUCGGGCACAAGCUAUGGCCCCACUGUGCCUCCUUGAGAAAAGUACAAAUUAAGAGUAUAGUGGGUUUGAAAAGCAGAAAAAAAAAAAAAAGUUGAUGGUCACAGCAAGGACGCUGGGAGGCCGAAGGCGUGAAUAUUGCAUCUUGUGAGCGGCGUGCGUGGCGAGGCCGAGAGGCGCGGCGGCCGAGUGACGAGGAAGUAUGAGGGUCCGCGUGUCGCCGUGGCUGCCCUGGUGGACCUUCUGCUGCGUGUGUCUGCUGCAGAGCGGAGUGACAGAGGCCAAGAGACACAGGAGGCCAGACUACUGCGAGGAUAUAAAGGUGAGUUGACGCGGCGCCUCGGCCCUGGACAGUCCCAAACAGCCAUGCUCGUGAACACUAAGUCGCGUCCAUCCUGAAUGUGGUUCAGUUUGAUGUUGAGGAAAUUUUCAGCCUGGACUGGACUGGACUGGAAGGUGCGUGACAGAACCUUCAAGACAAACCCCGCACCAGCAACAACUUGGAGGGCUUCCAUACUGCUCUUCAAAGUUCUGUAAAACCCGCAUUAACCUUUGUUUUCUUAUCAAAGGACUGAAAGGGAAAUAAUAACGUUCAGAUGGUAUUUCAGCUAUUCAUGUAUUCUUUCAUUCAUAUAAUUGUGUAUCUAUGUAUAUAUUCGUGUGUAUUUUAUCUAUUUAUUAUUUUUGCUUAUCUUUUUUAUGUAUUUAUUUACUACUAUUACUGUAUUGUGUCUAUGUAUUUAUUUACUACUAUUACUGUAUUGUGUCAAGCAUUCGCUGUCCCGUCGCUGCCUCACCAUUCCUCUCCACAUCUGCCUACCACCAGUCUCCUCCUGCCGAUCAUGAGUCUCUGGUGCCAACACACGUACUUUUAGAUAUCGUCAGUCCAUUUAUUGCUAGAUCUGCCCACUGGAAGAACUUCGUCCAUUCUGGUAAUCAUCAGUCACUUGGACAUUCACUCUUCCCCAUUCUGGCACAGUGUCAUGCCCUUUUUGAUUUACCUAUUCUAUUGAUCUACACUACCACUAUCAAUACCAAUAUUAACAACACUGACAAACAUACAAGCAAUCCACCUAGUGUUAUAGUGCAAGAGUUCCAUCCCCCAACAACAACAAAAGGAGAACUGAUCUUUCCAAGCACUCUGUCGGGCAGCGUCCCAGAGUGCGGAGAAACCUACGUACGAGUAUACUUGCCAGACUGUCUCGUGCAAGACCCAAACAUAAAUGCGACUCAGUACAUUCAUGGUAAUCAAAUCCACUGAUGCUCCUUAAUACAAACGGGACUGUGUGAAAAGAAAGAAACAUGUUCCCUACGCUUCUUUCCUUUUCUUUCCAAAUUUCAUCGUAAACUGAGUGAAAUAUGAGAGAUAACUAAUGUAGUUGUUAGUUAUCUACAGAAACAGGGCUGUGUAAAAGACAAAAGAGAUGUUACGAUGUACUUUUCCUUUCCAUCUAAAUAAUUUCGUACAAGAGUGAAAAAAUAAAGGAUAACGGGUGAAAAUGCCCAGAGUUAUUCACAAGUGGUGGAAGCAGGUAGGUUUGUUUGUUCCAGGGACUGCCGCGCGUAGGUCUGAUGGCCUCUUGCAGCUUCCCCUAUGCUCUUAUGUCCUCAUGUUCUUAUGUUCUAGUGGGCAAAGUUUGAUUUAAGUUUGUUUCAACGAGUGUACUUCUUUUUUCUGGUCUAGUCUUAGGUAUCUAGUCUUGAACGCUUGUAUUCCUUUAUUAGAACUAUUUUUAAAGGUCUCAGGGAUAAGUAGUUGGGUUUUCAUGUCUUAGUGGUAGUCGCAGGGUCUGACCGAAGUUCGUGUUUGUUGUCACCGUAAGGGGUUUAAUUCAAUCUAGUCUUAAGCGUCUAUUUCUAAACGCUCUAUUCUCUCAUUAGGAUUAUUUUCAGAGGCCACAGGGAUAAAUAGUCGGGUUUUCAUGUCGUUUCUUAGUUAUAGUACGCGGGGUUUGAUUCAGGCUCGUUUUCUUUUGACUCCUGGUGUGCUUUUAUCCAGUUUAAUCUUUGGCAUCUAUUUCUAAACGCUUUGCUCUCUUAUCAGUACUAAUUUCAAAGGCAGCAGGAAUGAAUAGUGAGGUUUUCAUGUCUAUGCUUUGUUGUAGUGCGCAAGGUUUGACUUUUAUCCUGUCUGGCCUUAAAAAAUACUUCCCUCUUCGUAAAUAUUUUAUUCCCUCAUCAGGGCUACUUUGAAAGGCUACAGGGUAUGAAGUCUGGUUUAUUCAUUCAUGGUUUUGUCUUAUUGAUGGUGCAGAACCCUUAUUGAACACUCAUUACGAUCAGGGAAGUGCACUUGAAAACCCGUAUUAAGUACAAUUAGAGCCGGUUAAAUGUGAAAAAAAAAAAAAGAUAAAAUGAUGAAAGCUUUAGGGAAUACAGUCGCGGAUGUUUCUUGCUCCCGUGUGUGUGUGUGUGUGUGUGUGUGUGUGUGUGUGAGAGACUCUUACUGGUUACUUCUCUUAGUUUCUUAUACAUCGUAAAGCUAGCAUCGUAAAGUCAGUUAUACGAUGCGCACCAUAUUUUGUGGCAUUCUUUUCACUUCUCUGUCAGGUUUUUUAUUUUGUUGCGGGCUUCCCUCCUGUUUGCGUGUGCGUGUCUUUAAUUAGCAGCGCGACGAUGUGUUAUAACUUUUACGACACUUUGAUAUUUUCUUUCAUCAUUCCGAGAGAGAGAGAGAGAAGAGGCGAGAGUUUAGUAGCUAGUCUCCAGAUGCUUGCUAUUAUUUUGUAUAUUUUUAGUUUUACGAGUCUCUC